AAAAACGUUACUCAUUGCAUCACAUGGAUGCCUCGACUCUGUACUCCGACGAAGGACGUGGCCAGCUGCGAUAAGCCUCGGUAAGCCGCUAGGCAGGCGUUAUAACCGGGGAUUUCCGAAUGGGGAAACCCAACCUUCGUAAUGGAAGGCUACCUCGCGUAAGCGGGGAGGUCACUCUGUGAACUGAAACAUCUCAUGUAACAGAGGAAAAGAAAUCAAUAGAGAUUCCCUUAGUAGUGGCGAGCGAAAAGGGAACAGCCCAAAUUCCACGAUAUUAUUGUGGAUGGUUGUAGGAGCCCAAUAUCUGAUUGCUUCAUUCUAGGCAAACGAUCCUGGAACGGACGGCCAAAGAGGGUGAGAGCCCCGUCGCCGAAAGACUGAAGCACAGUAGGGAUUUCCUGAGUAGGGUCGGACACGUGUAAUCCGGCCUGAAUCUAGGUGGACCACCACCUAAGGCUAAAUAGGUACAGAGAUCAAUAGCGGAUAGUACCGUGAGGGAAAGGUGAAAAGCACCCCGGAAGGGGGAUGAAAUAGUCUCUGAAAUGUGAUGCAUACAAAGAAUCGGAGCUCGGUACCAUGGUGUCUUUUUUAGUUGCGACUGAUGUGGUCAGAGAAAAUUUUCAGUUUUCAAUUUUAAAUUUUCAUUCAAGGUCCAAUUUUCAAUGAUCAAAUAAUUCGUCUUGUCAUUGAAAAUUGUUAUAUUGGAUUUUGAUUGAAAAUUGAAAAUUCUAAAUUGAAAAUUAUCUGCGAUAGCUAUCAGACCAAUAUUUGUUGAAGACAGCAUGGUGCCGAGUGACGGUGUGCCUUUUGCAUAAUGAGCCAACGAGUUUGUCGUAUGUGGCAGGUUAAGGCCUAAAAGCCGAAGCCGGAGCGAAAGCGAGUCCGAAUAGGGCGUGUGCCUCGCUUUUGGUUUCAAUUAAUUUGUGAUAGUUAUCUUUGUUCUUUGGGUCAAAUUGACAAUUAACAAUUGAAAAUUGACAAUUAGGUUCAGGUUUAAAAGAUAACUAACUUUGAGUCGCUUUAGAAUUGUCAAUUGGCCAUUAUCAAUUGUCAAUUUUGACUUCAAGUACUCAAAAAUAAUCAUCUAGCUUAAUUGAAAUCGAAAGCGGGGCAUAAGUCGCAUGCGCAAGACCCGAAACCGGGUGAGCUAACCAUGGGCAGGGUGAAGGUCGUGGGAACACGAUUGGAGGCCCGCACCCACCAGUGCCGCAAGACUGGGGGAUGACCUGUGGUUAGGGGUGAAAAGCCUAUCGAACCCGGAGAUAGCUGGUUCUCCUCGAAAUGCCUUUAGGGGCAGCCUCGUUAUACACGCUUGGGGGUAGAGCUACUGUUUGGAUGCGGGGGUCUUUCCGACCUACCAAAUCCUGACAAACUCCGAAUACCAAGUCUUUGAUAACGGGAGUGAGUCAGCGACAGCUAACUGCCGUUGACGAAAGGGAAAGAACCCUAAUCAUCUGCUAAGGUCCCUAAUUAUCGUUCAGUGGAAAAGGUAGUACGAAUGCAUCGACAACCAGGAGGUUGGCUUAGAAGCAGCCAUCCUUUAAAGAAAGCGUAACAGCUCACUGGUCGAUUGCAUUCGUGCGCCGAAAAUGUAUCGGGGCGAAACGAUAAACCGAAGCAAUGAGUGUGCCACUUUUAGUGGUGCGCAGUAGAGGAGCGUUCCGUUCAGCAGUGAAGCAGUACUGCGAAGUAUUGUGGAGCGGACGGAAGUGAGAAUGUUGGCAUGAGUAACUACUAGGCAAGCGAAAAUCUUGCCCGCCGAAUCCCCAAGGUUUCCCACGCAACGUAAAUCGGCGUGGGGUUAGUCGGUCCUAAGGCCAGGCCGAAAGGCGUAACCGAUGGACAACAGGUCAAUAUUCCUGUACCUCAUGGAAAUCGCCAGAGGGUGUCGCUUGAUAGUUUCGCGAGCCUCUGUUCUGUGCCAUCUUGUACUCAACGAAAAAUUGACAAUUGACAAUUGACAAUUACGCAAGCGAGAACGAACUAAGUUUCUCUUUAGAAUUGUCAAUUGUACAUUGUAAAUUGUCAAUUUGUUUGAGUCUAAGAUGGCGCAGAACAUGUUCACGGAAAAGGAUGGCAGCACUCUAGGAGCGUUGUAACGGAGCGGGAGUACCAGAGCGUGUGUAUUGACUGCACGUGUAACACAUGAAGUGUUGAUUCCGGGAGGCAAAUCCCCUGGAUGAGCUGAGUGUGGAUACCAAAUGUCCGCCGCAAGGCGGGAGAGUCUGACUGCUUCUACUUCCAAGAAAAACAUCGCUCACAGAAAUCCGUGAGACCGUACCGCAAACCAACUCCGGUGGGGUGGUCGAGUAGACCAAGGCGAACGGGUAAUGUCGUGUCAAGGAACUCGGCAAAACAACGUCCGUAACUUCGGGAUAAGGACUGACUCCGCGCAAGCGGAGCCUGCAAUAAAUGAGUCCAGGCGACUGUUUACCAAAAACACAGGUCUCUGCGAAGUUGUAAAACAACGUAUAGAGGCUGAUGCCUGCCCAGUGUCAGAAGGUUACGUGAGGGGAUUUACGUCUCUGAUCUAAGCCCUGAUGAACGGCGGCCGUAACUAUAAAACGGAUCAGUUGUAGUUACGUAAAUAAAUUUGGCUAUAUGCUGGAACAUCUGAGUAUCUGACGGUACUUGUGUGAAUAGGUGUACGAGUGUACACUACUAUCAUGAGUGACAAUCCGAUCAGUGCAGAUAAUCAGCAGGAAAGACUUUUGAUAACAUAUUCUUCAUCAGAAAUCAGCAGUUACAUCGCAGGUUUCUCUGAUGGAGAAGGAAGUUUUAAUAUCUCUUUUCGAAAAAGAAAAGACUAUAAAUUACCGUGGAAAAUAUCAGCUUGCUUCAAUAUUUCUCAGAAAGAUAAAUCUAUUCUUGAGAUGAUUAGAAAUCAUCUUGGAUGUGGAACAUUGCGUUCACGUCCAGAUGAUAUUUGGUACUUUGAAGUAAAUGAUUUGGAAGAAUUGCACAGCAAUAUAAUUCCAUUUUUUCUUCGAUGCCCAUUUCUUUCACAGAAGAAACAGCGAGACUUUAAAAUCUUCCAAAAAAUUAUCACUUUAAUUCGAUCCAAGCAUCACUUAUCAAAAGGUGGUGUCGAAAAAAUAUUGGAUUUUAGAAGAAAUAUGAAUGAUGGUGGUAAGAGGAAAUAUUCAGAAUCAGAUAUAUUAGAUGCUUAUCAAAAGAAUCCUCAGAGACUACACGCCAAACUUGCUCUGUCGAAAGGCAGAUGUUGAGAUGAUAUAGUCCGAACUCAUAGGCGACUAUGAGCACUUAUAAUUAACUACCAAGGUUAUAAGGACUUCACUUAUUUGAGUGAUGGAACAUUUGAACGGUCCUAAGGUAGCGAAAUUCCUUGUCGGGUGGUCGAUAAGCACUUGCCCGAAUGAGAGGUAACUCUCAGCGCUAGGGAAUUAGCGAUGGCAUAAAUUAGCGUCAAAUGUCCCCACUACGCUCCCUUCGGGAGCUACGAGGGGCGGUAUUCUUGAUAAUUUCAAGGAUGCCGGGCUAUAUGCUGGAAAAUCCCACGUAUCCCUUUUCCGUAAGGAAAUGGGUGGGGACAAUCAGCAGGAAAGAUCCAUCUUUGGUGGAAAUCCUCAGAGACUAUACGCCACACUCCCGCAUUAGUGGGAAGAUGAUAUAGUCCGAUCUCCAUGGCGACAUGGAGGGCAGUAAAAUCGUACUGCUGAUAAAAACAAUCGUGGAACAAAUCAACACGUCCCCUUCAGGGACUCUCUACAAUCGACACGCGACUUCGUCGCUUUCAACAAUCAACAUGUUGAAAGUGAGCGUAGCGAGUGUGUUGAAUGUUGAUAGUUGAUUGUUGCGCGCUUAGCGCGCAUGAAGUUCCGACCCGCACGAAUGGUAUAACGGUCUGGGCACUGUCUCGACACGACGCCCGGUGAAAUUGCAGUCCCGGUACAAAUGCCGGGUUGAUUACGGAAGGACGAAAAGACCCUAUGAAGCUUUACUAUACGCUGGCAUUGCAGAGUUGGUCUGCUUAUGCAGGAUAGGUGGGAGACUUUGAAGCUCGGACGUUAGUCCGGGUGGAGUCAUCCUUGAGAUACCACCUUUGUGUUCUGAUUCUGCUCACUCAUUUCUUGUACACAAGAGAUGGAGACAGUGCUUGCCGGGUAGUUUAACUGGGGCGGUUGCCUCCUAAAAUGUAACGGAGGCGUGCAAUGGUAACCUAGCGCCGGAUGGAAAUCGGCGUGGUCGUAUAAUCGCACAAGGUUGCCUGACUGUGAGACUUACAGGUCGAGCAGAGACGAAAGUCGGUGAUAGUGAUCUGGUGUCCUGAGCUGUUUUUAAUGGCUCUUACCACGUGGGUGGGACAUCACUCAACGGAUAAAAGUUACUCUAGGGAUAACAGGCUGAUCGCUCCCAAGCGCCCACAGCGACGGAGCGGUUUGGCACCUCAUUCGGGGUGCUACAGAAGUAAUUCUGUACCAAAAAUUCGGCUAAUAACGGUGAAACCGUCACGAGCAUUGUGGAAAUGAAAUGCUCGCCGGCAAUACCGUGGGAAGUCUAAAACAACAAUCGACAAUCAACACACUCGCUACGCUCGUUUUCAACAAUCAACAAUAAAUUGAAAGUGAAACGUGUUGAGAGGGCACGAAGUGCCCGUGUUGAAAGUCCUCGAAGAGGACGUGUUGAUAGUUGUCUUAUGACCCCGUAACGACUGACCCGAAAGGGGAGAGCUCUUGGAAAUAUUUAUAAGGGCUAAUACGCCGAAUCCUGCUUCAUUAAAUCAGAUUAUGGUCAUAAGAGACCUAAGAUCGAUUGCAGGAAAAAGAUAUAGUCUGCGCCAUAUGAAAAUAUGGAAUUAGUACGAUGUCGGCUCAUCGCAUCCUGGGGCUGAAGAAGGUCCCAAGGGUUUGGCUGUUCGCCAAUGAAAGCGGUACGCGAGCUGGGUUCAGAACGUCGUGAGACAGUUUGGCCUCUAUCCUCCGUAAUCACUUAGAGACGUGAAGGAAGCUGCUCCUAGUACGAGAGGACCGGAGUGGACGAACCUCUGGUGACCCUGUUGUCGUGUCAACGGCAUCGCAGGAUAGCUAUGUUCGGAAGGGAUAACCGCUGAAGGCAUCUAAGCGGGAAGCCCCCCCUAAGAUUGCGUCUCUCCAUAAAUCCGCCGCAAGAACAGCGGUUAGAUCGGCCACAGGUGUAAGCAUGGUAACGUGUUCAGCCGAGUGGUACGAAUGGAUGAUUGAACGUUUUUAA
rnacentral:rRNA from 1 species